UACGGGGGGGGCAAGCGUUGUUCGGAAUUACUGGGCGUAAAGGGCUCGUAGGCGGCCAACUAAGUCGGAUGUGAAAUCCCCAGGCUCAACCUGGGAACUGCAUCCGAUACUGGAUGGCUUGAAUCCGGGAGAGGGAUGCAGAAUUCCAGGUGUAGCGGUGAAAUGCGUAGAUAUCUGGAGGAAUACCGGUGGCGAAGGCGGCAUCCUGGACCGGCAUUGACGCUGAGUGAGCGAAAGCCAGGGGAGCAAACGGG
rnacentral:rRNA from 1 species